rnacentral:rRNA from 1 species
UACGGAGGGUGCAAGCGUUAUCCGGAUUCACUGGGUUUAAAGGGUGCGUAGGUGGGUUGAUAAGUCAGUGGUGAAAUCUCCGAGCUUAACUUGGAAACUGCCAUUGAUACUAUCAGUCUUGAAUGCCGUGGAGGUUAGUAGAAUAUGUCAUGUAGCGGUGAAAUGCUUAGAUAUGACAUAGAAUACCCAUUGCGAAGGCAGCUGACUACACGGUGAUUGACACUGAGGCACGAAAGCGUGGGGAUCAAACAGG